AUAAUCUCGGUAGACUUAUCGGCACUGCAAUGACCAAUUAUAUUAUAAAAUUCAAAUACUACUAAGAUCGCCAGGCCGUAUUAUAAUGAGGAGAAGAGAAGAUUUUGUUUGAACAGCAGUAGAGCGAAAGCUUCGCGGGAGAAAUCUCGGAAAAAAUUUAGAUGAACGUUCUCGAAAAGGAUUUAAGAAAUCUGGGAGUGGUAGAUCGGAAAUAUGGGAUC